rnacentral:lncRNA from 1 species
GGCACUGGUCAUACAGAAGAACCCCAAGAUCAAACAGAUUUUAGGCAAUUUUUGGUCAUUAUUUCCAAAAGUAGACCUGACUCAGACACAUUAAAUAAUUUAAUUUCAAUUGGAGACUCUAUAUUCCUGAAGAAACCAGCCACUUAAACAUGAGGAAUAUAUUUUAUUAAUUUAUUUGGAUUGUGUGUUACGAGAGAGAAGAGAUCAUCAGAAAAGGCUGCCUUUAUAGUGUUGUGGUAAGUAAAGAGGGUACAAAAUGCACUUGGACACAUGCUGUUCAAGUUUGCUGUUAAGCUGCUGAAACAACUUUUCGGGCAUAAGGGAUGUAUUGCAACUUAUCAGAAAGUAGAAAAACAGAAAGCAAAUGAAGAGUCUCCUUGUGAUAGAAUUAGAUCAGAACACAAGUGUUGUGUACAUUUUCCUUUGCUACCACAAUUCAGUUUAGACUGAAUUUUCACAUUCAUUGAUUUCUAUCAUAUGUGCAUGGGCUGGGCUACAUUUCCAACUGGACACACAACGAGACUUUCCAAACCAAUAAUGUUCAGCUUCUCAGAGGAAAGUGUAAAAUUAAAUGUGCUCACAUAAACUUAAAAAUACACUGGC